rnacentral:pre_miRNA from 1 species
GUGUUCGCUGGUGUGGCAUCAUCAAGAUUCACAUAAAUCUUCGGGCGGCUUAAUUAUUAUUAUUAUUUUUCCUCUUGCUGCUUUAUAGAUUAUAGAUGAGAAUCUUGAUGAUGCUGCAUCGGCAAACAC